rnacentral:rRNA from 1 species
ACUACGGUGCUGAAGUAACAAAUGCCCUGCUUCCAGGAAAAGCCUCUAAGCAUCAGGUAACAUCAAAUCGUACCCCAAACCGACACAGGUGGUCAGGUAGAGAAUACCAAGGCGCUUGAGAGAACUCGGGUGAAGGAACUAGGCAAAAUGGUGCCGUAACUUCGGGAGAAGGCACGCUGGUGUGUAGGUGAAGCCCCUGCGGGUGGAGCUGAGACCAGUCGAAGAUACCAGCUGGCUGCAACUGUUUAUUAAAAACACAGCACUGUGCAAACACGAAAGUGGACGUAUACGGUGUGACGCCUGCCCGGUGCCGGAAGGUUAAUUGAUGGGGUUAUCCGUAAGGAGAAGCUCUUGAUCGAAGCCCCGGUAAACGGCGGCCGUAACUAUAACGGUCCUAAGGUAGCGAAAUUCCUUGUCGGGUAAGUUCCGACCUGCACGAAUGGCGUAAUGAUGGCCAGGCUGUCUCCACCCGAGACUCAGUGAAAUUGAACUCGCUGUGAAGAUGCAGUGUACCCGCGGCAAGACGGAAAGACCCCGUGAACCUUUACUAUAGCUUGACACUGAACAUUGAGCCUUGAUGUGUAGGAUAGGUGGGAGGCUUUGAAGCGUGGACGCCAGUCUGCGUGGAGCCAACCUUGAAAUACCACCCUUUAAUGUUUGAUGUUCUAACGUUGGCCCCUUACCGGGGUUGCGGACAGUGUCUGGUGGGUAGUUUGACUGGGGCGGUCUCCUCCCAAAGCGUAACGGAGGAGCACGAAGGUUAGCUAAUCCUGGUCGGACAUCAGGAGGUUAGUGCAAUGGCAUAAGCUAGCUUGACUGCGAGCGUGACGGCGCGAGCAGGUGCGAAAGCAGGUCAUAGUGAUCCGGUGGUUCUGAAUGGAAGGGCCAUCGCUCAACGGAUAAAAGGUACUCCGGGGAUAACAGGCUGAUACCGCCCAAGAGUUCAUAUCGACGGCGGUGUUUGGCACCUCGAUGUCGGCUCAUCACAUCCUGGGGCUGAAGUAGGUCCCAAGGGUAUGGCUGUUCGCCAUUUAAAGUGGUACGCGAGCUGGGUUUAGAACGUCGUGAGACAGUUCGGUCCCUAUCUGCCGUGGGCGCUGGAGAAUUGAGGGGGGCUGCUCCUAGUACGAGAGGACCGGAGUGGACGCAUCACUGGUGUUCGGGUUGUCAUGCCAAUGGCACUGCCCGGUAGCUAAAUGCGGAAGAGAUAAGUGCUGAAAGCAUCUAAGCACGAAACUUGCCCCGAGAUGAGUUCUCCCUGAGACUUUAAGUCUCCUGAAGGAACGUUAAAGACGAUGACGUUGAUAGGCCGGGUGUGUAAGCGCAGCGAUGCGUUGAGCUAACCGGUACUAAUGAACCGUGAGGCUUAACCUU